ACUCAAAUGAAUUGACGGGGACUCGCACAAGCGGUGGAACAUGUGGUUUAAUUCGAUGUCACGCGAAAAACCUUACCAGGUCUUGACAUGAUAGUCGUAUGGCUAGGAAACUAGUCAGUCGGUUCGGCCGGACUAUCACAGGUGUUGCAUGGUUGUCGUCAGCUCGUGUCGUGAGAUGUUGGGUUAAGUCCCGCAACGAGCGCAACCCUUAUCCUUAGUUACCAGCGGGUAAUGCCGGGCACUCUAGGGAAACUGCCGGUGAUAAGCCGGAGGAAGGUGGGGAUGACGUCAAAUCAGCAUGGCCCUUAUGACCUGGGCUACACACGUGUUACAAUGGCGGUGACAACGAGAUGCAAUAGGGCAACCUGGAGCAAAUCUAUUAAAAGCCGCCUCAGUUCGGAUUGUACCCUGCAACUCGGGUACAUGAAGUCGGAAUCGCUAGUAAUCGCGGAUCAGCAUGCCGCGGUGAAUACGUUCUCGGGUCUUGUACACACCGCCCGU
rnacentral:rRNA from 1 species